CGGAGCGGUGGGCUGGUCAGGGGCCCGGGUUGGGGCUCCGGGCGGGGAUGACGUAGGAGGGGUCGGCCGUGCGGGGCGGCUCGCGCCGG
rnacentral:tRNA from 1 species